rnacentral:misc_RNA from 1 species
CAGGAAAGUGUUUUAGGCUCUACACAGAAGAUUACUUUUCCAAUGAGAUGUCUGUGGUGGGAAUCCCCGAGAUUCAAAGGUCAAACCUCGUUUCCUGUGUCAUCCAGUUGAAGGCUUUGGGCAUCGAUAACAUUUUAGGUUUUGAUUGGCCAGCAUCUCCAUCACCUGAAUCGAUGAUCAGAGCACUUGAAAUAUUGUACUCACUUGGAGUACUAGAUGACGACGCCAAACUUACUUCACCUACUGGAUUUCAAGUUGCAGAGAUUCCACUAGACCCAUUAAUAUCCAAAAUGAUCUUAGCUUCUUGUGAGUUUGGAUGUUCGGAGGAAAUAAUUACCAUUGCUGCUGUACUCUCCAUACAGUCUAUUUGGAUUCCUGUUAGAGGAGUACAGAAGCAGUUG